AGCCUGAUCCAGCCAUGCCGCGUGAGUGAUGAAGGCCCUAGGGUUGUAAAGCUCUUUCACCGGUGAAGAUAAUGACGGUAACCGGAGAAGAAGCCCCGGCUAACUUCGUGCCAGCAGCCGCGGUAAUACGAAGGGGGCUAGCGUUGUUCGGAUUUACUGGGCGUAAAGCGCACGUAGGCGGACUUUUAAGUCAGGGGUGAAAUCCCGGGGCUCAACCCCGGAACUGCCUUUGAUACUGGAAGUCUUGAGUUCGAGAGAGGUGAGUGGAAUUCCGAGUGUAGAGGUGAAAUUCGUAGAUAUUCGGAGGAACACCAGUGGCGAAGGCGGCUCACUGGCUCGAUACUGACGCUGAGGUGCGAAACCAAGGGGAGCAAACAGGAUUAGAUACCCUGGUAGUCCACGCCAUUAACUACCCUGGUUAGCCGUCGGGCAGUUUACUGUUCGGUGGCGCAGCUAACGCAUUAAACAUUCCGCCUGGGGAGUACGGUCGCAAGAUUAAAACUCAAAGGAAUUGACGGG
rnacentral:rRNA from 1 species